rnacentral:rRNA from 1 species
UACGAAGGGGGCUAGCGUUGCUCGGAAUCACUGGGCGUAAAGCGCACGUAGGCGGAUCUUUAAGUCAGGGGUGAAAUCCUGGAGCUCAACUCCAGAACUGCUUUUGAUACUGAUGAGCUUGAGUUCGGGAGAGGUGAGUGGAACUGCGAGUGUAGAGGUGAAAUUCGUAGAUAUUCGCAAGAACACCAGUGGCGAAGGCGGCUCACUGGCCCGAUACUGACGCUGAGGUGCGAAAGCGUGGGGAGCAAACAGG